UGCAAUUACAGCGCGUCCAUGGCUCCAAUACUAUAUAGCGAAAAACAUUCAUCAUACUGUUUUCUCCUGUUCCAGGUGCUAAGAAGAGAGGCCAAUGUAGCUGUCUAAACAAGAGAUGACAUACCUUUUGAAAAGCAGUUUUCCUGUGGUUGCUUGUGCCCUGAAAAUGCAUGCACCUGGAAAUUCAAGUGCUUGAGAGAAGAUGUAGAAGAUCAGUCCGUAAAUGUUCUUGCUGCACUUGGGGAGCUAGAAGAUGGACCGGAUUCCAUGCCUCAGUCUUCCCUAGAAAUGACAACAGAGAAAGCGUCAACACUGAAAUGUCUUCUAGAAAGGCUGCUGACUUUGAAGGAGAAGGACCAGCAUUCAGCAUACCAAAAAGGCCACUCCUGGUGCUGAGCACCUCUGCAAGGAUGGGAGCUGGACCCAGGACUAACUCUGAGCUUGAAAUGUGAACUCUGUGAACUUCAGGUGUGAGCAGCCAUGAGAAGGUUCAGAGUUACAGAAUCACCAGUUUGGAGGCAUCCCUGGAGAUUGUUUGUCCAACCCCCCUGUUCAAGCCAGGCUCAACUACACCAGGCUGCCCAGGACCUCUCCAGUUGGGCUUUGAAGACCUCCAGGGAUGAAGAUUCUGCAACCUCUUUGGACAACCUCUCCCUGUGUUCAGUCACCCUUACAGUAGAAAUCACUGAGAAGACUCUGGCCUCAUCCUCUUUAUUCCUACCCACCAAGUGUUUGCAUGUAUUGGCUAAUCAGGUCCACAUGGAAAAACCUGCUCUUUUCUUGCCUCCACACUUCCUUUUCCCACUAAUACUUGCUUCAGUCGGUGAAGCAGAUUCCAGUUUUAGGGAGCUGCCAGGGUGAAAGUUGUAGCUAACAACCACCCAGGGGAGCCCAAGUGUUUGGUUGCUCCUGUUCUGGUCAAACCUACAUGACCAAGCCUGUGGUGCCAAUGCUUACUGUAAUUUGCAGUGACAGAGAAACAAGGAUGCAGCACCACAGAUGUCAAAGCCAGCAUCAGAAGACAAGUAUGAAGAAGUGCUCUACUGAUCUUCUGUAUUACAAUCUUGACAUUCAUUAAAACAGGCAAAAAUAAACCACCGUCAUGUCCAUAAGCCUGCAGGGUGCUAAAUACAUAAAAGACCAUGUGUAAGGAAUCUCAUGAUGUCUGCCUGAAUCUGCAGACAGCCUGAGAAGCACAAACAGCCUCCACUUAUCUCAACGUAAGAUAACUCAGAACCACAGAUCUGGAAGGGGUAGGAAUGGGUAACACAGCAGCAGCCUGGUAUCCUUCUCGAAAUACAGCGUUUCUUACCCAGCCUUCACACCACCAUCCCAGCUUUUCCAGGGAAGGAGUACAUGGUAGCAUGGAGACACAGAUAAGGAAACGGCUCCUCCCUGCACUCUCAAUGCCUCCGUGGUGUGCCAAGAUCCCAAAUUGCACUAAUUUGACCUUGCCAGACUUGUCAAGGAAACAAUUACCUGGGUCUCUGCUCUUGGGACUUUACAUUCAAAGACUCCAACCCUUCCAAGACGUAUGCAUUUGCGUGGCUCCUAGCUGCGCAUACCAACAUCAUACGAAUGAGUUACAGGCAAAGAAGAAAGGCUGGGACAUGCAUAUUCUUGGGAGGUUUGCUGGAGAGCAGAAGACAAUCACACACCUUUUUUCUCUGUAUCAGGUGGAAAAUGUUACAAACCAUGGAAACUUGCAGCCUUCCCCCUCAUCUGGAGUCUGCUUUUUCCCCAGAAUAUUUAUGUUUUCCUACAUUUCCCCUCAGUAAUGAUCUAAUCAAGCAGAAUUCUUUUGGUAUUAAUCAGAAGAGCAGGGGGACACUUUUGUGGUUACUAUUAUCAAUGGGGAUGUCAGGAAGACUUUGACAGGAUUACCCUUGGAAUUUGCCAUUUAUUAACCAGGCCAUUAGCUAACAUGGCAGGGCUGGGGUGGGGCUCCUUUUGCUUUGCACAAGGGAGAUGGCUUGUUUGAGGGUGGGGAGGCUGAGGGUGGUGGAGUUCUGUCUCCAUCUGAUUCAGAGAUCUCAAACAGCUGCCCUGGCAACCCUGAGAUAUCUCUCCUCAUCUGUACGUCUUUCUUUGCUUUCAUCAUCUCUUCCCAUUAUUGGGAAACCGUCACAAAUCAAGCUACACACUGAGCUAGGAGAGCUUGCACCACCAAGCGUAGGCUUGUGGUCCUGACCCAGGGAAGAUGGGAAUGACACCCUGCUCUUACAGGGUGUUCUGAUAUGGGAGGCCAGAGAUAAGUGCUCCAAGCCCUCAGGCCAGGGCUCCAGGAAAGAGAAGCUGGGUUUAGAGGCAUUAGACUUGCAGCUGGGAUACAAAGUAUGCACACACAAAAAUCUAGCCAAGUCAGGCAACAAAAUGAAAAAUUGGUUUUCUCUCCUUGAAAUUUAGUGCUGCUGUUCACCCUGCAC